GAAAAAUCGAUGACAAAGAAUAGUAGCACAAGUGCGUCUUCAUAGAGAGUCAGCGGCUGGUGGAAGCUGAUAGGCAACUUGGUGUGAAUGGUCUUUGGAGAGUUUCCCAGAAUGUCAGUACGGGAAAACGUGUGAUCUACGUUACAGGUCCUAAAGCGAAAGCCGUUAUUGGCUUUUAAUUUGAGGUGGCACCACGGUCAUUCCGUCCUCUGU
rnacentral:ncRNA from 1 species